UAGAGUUUGUGGGCUUUGCCCACUGUCUCUUACCCAUGUCUUUUGAGUACUUACGUUUCCUCGGUGGGCUCGCCCGCCGGUUGGACAAUUUAAACCAUUUGCAGUUGCAAUCAGCGUCUGAAAAACAUAAUAGUUACAACUUUCAACAACGGAUCUCUUGGUUCU
rnacentral:misc_RNA from 1 species